CACGUAGGGGGCGAGCGUUGUCCGGAAUUAUUGGGCGUAAAGAGCUCGUAGGCGGUGUGUCGCGUCGGCCGUGAAAACCUGCAGCUUAACUGUGGGCUUGCGGUCGAUACGGGCAUCACUGGAGUUCGGCAGGGGAGACUGGAAUUCCUGGUGUAGCGGUGAAAUGCGCAGAUAUCAGGAGGAACACCGGUGGCGAAGGCGGGUCUCUGGGCCGAUACUGACGCUGAGGAGCGAAAGCGUGGGGAGCGAACAGG
rnacentral:rRNA from 1 species